rnacentral:rRNA from 1 species
GGGGGUUAGCGUUGUUCGGAAUUACUGGGCGUAAAGCGCGCGUAGGCGGGCUAGUAAGUUAGAGGUGAAAUCCCAGGGCUCAACCCUGGAACUGCCUUUAAUACUGCUAGUCUUGAGUUCGAGAGAGGUGAGUGGAAUUCCGAGUGUAGAGGUGAAAUUCGUAGAUAUUCGGAGGAACACCAGUGGCGAAGGCGCUCUGCUGGGCCAUCACUGACGCUCAUGGACGAAAGCCAGGGGAGCGAAAGGGAUUAGAUACCCCUGUAGUCCUGGCCGUAAACGAUGAACACUAGGUGUCGGGGGAAUCGACCCCCUCGGUGUCGUAGCCAACGCGUUAAGUGUUCCGCCUGGGGAGUACGCACGCAAGUGUGAAACUCAAAGGAAUUGACGGGGGCCCGCACAAGCGGUGGAGUAUGUGGUUUAAUUCGAUGCAACGCGAAGAACCUUACCAGGGUUUGACAUCCUGCGAAUCUCUUGGAAACGAGAGAGUGCCUUCGGGAGCGCAGUGACAGGUGGUGCAUGGCU